AAAAAGGUCUCUCGGGAAAGCUAUUUAAGGCCCAAAAUCCACAAAAGCAUAAGCGUCAACGCGCACGUUACAUGCUAAUUAAAGCACACUAGCAGUCGUUUAAGCUCAGAUGGUAAGAUAACAAGCUGAGAAUGGAAACCCAGAAAAUCCUGAGGGAGUGUGGAUAUGAUCCCACUUGGUACUGCCAUUAUUGCAAUCCCUUUCCAAGAUGAAUGCUCCUUGGCAAUCGCAUUCAAUACACGAAGAUGGUGAUCUCCUGCCACUGCCACUCAUCGCAAACACUCUAUGCUUAUUAAAAACCUUAUCAUUCCUCUUUAUCUCUUGGGCACCUUCUCCAAGGCUGAUCAUACAAGGAUUUGUUCCAGUUAUACAAUCUGGAAGUAGAAUUGAAUUCACUAUUUCCCACCUCAUGUUCUCAUUUUCCUUCACUUCUCCACCGAUUCUUCGCUGCUGCUGUAAUUGGUGUUGCUCGCCUCCGAAGAACCACCACCAUUGGUUUUGAUUUCUAUUGAUACUAACUGUAGCAGUGGCUCCUCUGGGGCUAGUAUUUGAAAAGGGCCAAACCCCAUCAACCUUGGACCAAGACCCUGUAUCUGGGUCAUAGCACUCGGCAUCAAACCUGAACUGCCCUUGGCUAUCUGUGCCAUAACCGCUCACAACCCAGAACCUGGAAUCACCCUCCCAGGCUAGCCCCUGACCUUCGUCCCUCUCUUCAAUCAUAUCGGGUAGCUUUAUCCAUUCGUUUUUAUCAACAUCAUAAACCUCUGCCGAUCGUAAGGCGUUCUUCUGACCGUCGUGGCCUCCGGCAACAAAAACCUUGGACGGUCCAACCAAGGCACAAGCAAAGAAAGAGCGUGACACAGACAUUGACGCCCCACGUCUCCACCUGCAGCCACCAACUCCGGUGAGAUCCAAGAUGUACACAUCCGGGACAGGUUCUAGAGUGGUGGGAUCCCAACCGCCCAAAAGGAGUACUUUCCGUGAUGAUGGAAGCGCCAAACACUGGCAGAACAUGGGUAUUCCUCCCUGAGGCCUUGUCCUUUGCCAAAUAUCAUGGGUUGCGUUGUAGAUGCUCAGUGCAAACUGAGGUGGGCUCUGGAUCUGUUUGUCUUCCUUAUUGGUUACAGCAGCAGUGGCGGGGG
rnacentral:misc_RNA from 1 species